GGUAUGAGCCACUGCGCCUGGCCCAUUUAGUAUGAUCUUUACAAUAAUUCUGUGAAGAAAGAAUUCUUACCCUCUUUUUUUCCCAUUUAUUUAUUUAUAUUAUUUUUUGAGACGGAGUCUCGCUCUGUCACCCAGGCUGGAGUGCAAUGGUGCAAUCUUAGCUCACUGCAAACUCCACCUCUCAGGUUCCAAUUCUCCUGCCUCAGCCUCCAGAGUAGCUGGAAUUACAGGCACGCCACCAUGCCCAGCUAUUUUUUUGUAUUUUUAGUAGAUACGGGGUUUUGUCAUGUUGGCCAGACUGGUCUUGAACUCCUGACCUCAGGUGAUCCAUUUGCCUUGGCCUCCCAAAGUGCCGGGAUUACACGCAUGAGCCACAUCUGGCUUUUUUUCAUUUAUUGAUAAAUGAAAUUUUGCAUAUUAUGGGGUGCAUAUGAAUGUGUUUUAUAUACACAGAAUGUGUAAUUAUCAAGCCAGGGUAUUUGAGGUAUUCACCACCUUGAGAAUUUAUAAUUUUAUGUGUUGGGAACAUUUCAAGUUCUCUCUUCUAGCAACUUUGAAAUACACAAUAUAUUGUUGCUAACUGUAGCCACCCUAGUCUGCUACCAAACAUUAGAAGGUAUUUCUUCCCUAAGUUUGUACCCAUUCACCAACCUAUCAAGAAGUUUUACUAUUUUACAGGUGAGGAAACUCAGGUUCAGAGAGGCUAGGUCAUUUGUCCAAGGUCAUUGCUGUUACACAGCAGAGGCAGGAUUUAAACCCUGGCUUGCUCAACUCCGGAGUUGGUGGGUUUUUUUUUCUUUAGAAAUAGCGUCUCUGUCUGUAAGGCUGUGAGGGUGUAGUGCAGUGGCACAAUCACAGUUCACUGCAGCCUAGAAUUCCUUCGCUUAGGCGAUGCUCCCGACCCAGCCUCCUGAGUAGCUGGGAGUACAGGUGCAUGACACACCUGGCUAAUUAAAAAAAAGUUUUUUAGAGAUAGGGUCUCUGUAUGUUGCCCAGGCUGAUCUCAAACUCCUGUCCUCAAGUAAUCCUCCUGCCUUUGCCUCCCAAAGUGCUGGGAUCACAGGUAUGAGCCACCACAUCCAACCCAGAGUUUGUGCUCUUAACCAGGGAUGACAUGUUGCAACUUCACUCCUCACAGUGUGGCCCACAGACGAGCAUCAUCAGCAUCACCCGGGAGCUUGUUAAACUGCAGCAUCAGGCCACAUCCAGGGCCUGAGUCAGAAUCUGUAUUUUGACAAGAUCCCAAGUGAUUCGUGUGCAUACUAGUUUGAGAAGCUUUGGGGACCACAGUUUCACUAAUGGUUUUUUUUUUUUAAUUUCUUUUGAGACGGAGUUUCAUUCUUGUUGCCCAGGGUAGAGUGCAAUGGCGCAGUCUUGGCUCACUGCAACCUCCACCUCCCGGGUUGUAGAGAUUCUCCUGCCUCAGCCUCCUAAGUAGCUGGGAUUACAGGCGACCGCCACCACGCCCAGGCCUCCCAAAAUGCUGGAAUUACAGGUGUGAGCCACUGUGCCUGGCUUUGUUGGUUUUAACAGUUCUUUCCCAUGCAGGCUGCAGCUGAACAGCCAAGUCCCCUCCUUGGGUCACAUAUUUUUCUGAAAAUGUUAUAAAAAAAUUGAGUCCACUGGCCUGGGCUAAUUACCUAGCAGAACAUCCCCAUGGUUUGGUGAUUCUGAAUAUCGCUGCCAAACAAGCACUUGUAGAGGCUCAAACAAGGCCAUAAAACAUGGCAAUGGGGGCGCGCUCCCACUCUGGGAAAUGAAAAUCUGACGAUACUUUGAAUUACAGUGGAUCAAGAUUAAUUCCAGGAGUGCUAGGAAAUUGUCACCAUUAGUGCUGACGUACUGCCAGUUGUUGGCUCUGUCUAGUGGGGUUCUGAUUUGAAGACUCAUUAUUAAUAUUCCCUGUAGUGAUCUGCAAUGCUGCUCCAUUAUGGCAAGUCUGUCAGGAACGGAGUUUGUGUAGGAAUUUUAGAAAACAGCAAUAGGUUGAGGGCUAUGUGGUAGGCCCCAGAGCUUCUCAAACUACUGUGCACACAAAUCACCCAGGGUCUCGUUGAGAUGCAGAUUCGGAAUCACGUCCUGAGCUGAGGCUUGAUACUUUUCUUCUUUUUUGGAGACAGGAUCUCUCUCUGUUGCCCAGGCCAGAGUGCAAUGGUGCAGUCAUGGCUCACUGCAGCCUCAAAUUCUUAGGCUCAAGCAAUCCUCUCACCUUGCCUUCUGAGUAGUUGGGACUACAGGCGUUAGCCACUACGCCUGGCUUUUUUUUUUUUUUGAGAUGGAGUUUUGCUCUUGUUGCCCAGGCUAGAGUGCAAUGGCAUGGUCUUGGCUCACUGCAACCUCUGCCUCCUGGGUUCAAGUGAUUCUCCUGCCUCAGCCUCCCAAGUAGCUGGGAUUACAGGCAUGAGCCACCACACCCGGCUAAUUUUGUAUUUUUAGUAGAGGCAGGGUUUCACCAUGUUGGCCAGGCUGGUCUUGAACUCCUGACUUUGGGUGAUCCACCCGCCUCGGCCUCCCAAAGUGCUGGGAUGACAGGCAUGAGCCACCAUGCCCGGCACCUCGCCUGGCUUUUUAAUUUUUGAGAUGUCUGGCUCUGUUGCCCAGGCUGGAGGGCAGUGUUGCGAUCUUGGCUCACUGCAACCUUCGCCUCCCAGGUUCAAGCGAUUCUCCUGCCUCGGCCUCCCAAGUAGCUGGGACUGCAGGCGCAAACCACCAUGCCAGACUAAUUGGCUGUUUAAUUUUUAAUAGAGAUGGGGUCUUGCUUUGUUGUCCAGGCUGGUUGAACUCCUGGCCUUAAUUGAUCCUCCUGCCUUGGCCUCCCAAAGUAUCGGGAUUGCAGGAGUGAGCCAACAUGCUCAGCCUGAUGUUGCAUUUCUAACCAGCAUCCACGUGAUGCCACAGAUAGACCAAGGGGCGGAGGGAAAAUGAGUCCAGGCGGAAGGGAACACCUCUGAGGAAGAUCACUGCACAAACCCUGGUCAGCUGCACAUGACCCCAAAGAGUGGCUCUUAGGUUUAUUCCAAACGUACCUGAUUUGGGUGAUAAAGAGUUAAAAUUAAAUACAAAGGCCAAUGCCAGUCCAUUCCUGGCGCCAGCUCCUGCCUCUUCCUUCUCAUGGGGCCCUCACCAGAGUGAUGGGGUGGAGCAUACCCAACCCUGGGAGGAAAUGAGGCUUUUGUGCCGAGCGGCAAUAUGAUGGCAAUACUGGCAGUGGUAGUCAACCCAUCUGUAAACAGCUGACAGAGGGCAGUACAAGAAUCCACCUCACAGCCAGGGCCGCAACCGCAAGUAAAGCACACAGCUGAAAUGACUGACGUGGGUGGAACUGAGCUGAGAAGGAACGUGGCUCGGCUUGACCCUGGAGCACACAUCACAACCAUGAGAAACAGGCAACUAAAGUGACCUCCAGCCCACAGCAACAACCUUCUCUGGCUACAACUGGGAGGCAGGGACAGACCCCAGAAAACCAUCUUGGGUCAUCUAAGGUACGUGUAACCAUAUUUUUAAAAUGACAAAAUCUCAAGCAUGUUGCUUUGGUGAGCUUCUGAUUUUACUAGAAAUACACUCUAAGAACAGUCGAGACGCCGCGCCUUGUGGAGGCGAUGGGUCAUGUUACUGGUUCUGCGAUGAUCUUCCAGAGCUCCUGCAGCAAACAGAGAAAAGAACAGGUUUCUGAAGUGCACAUACAAGAGCAUCACAAUUUCAUUAAGGAAAGUGAUUCACCAAGGAGAGUAGUUAGACAACACGUCAGCCACGGAGCAGGCGAGCUGGGGCAGGAGCGGACGGGCGGCUUCCUCCUUUCUUUGUUGCUCUGGGCUGUUCUAUUUUACUGUGGCAGAGAGGCUGGAUGGAUGAAGUCCCAGCAUUAACGGAAGGUGCAUCAGAGGAUGUCAAACAAUCAGAAGAGACCAGAAUAGCAGUGAGUUGCCGUAUCUCUCCAUUUUGGGGGAGAUCUUUAUAAACAAUUUUAUUUUAGAGACAGGAUCUCAUUCUGUUGCCCAGUCUGGAGUGCAGUGGCACCAUCACAGCUUGCUGCAGCCUUGAACUUCUGGGCUCAAGCAAUCCUCCCACCUCAGCUUCCAGAGUAGCUGGGACCACAGGUGUGCACCACCAUGCAUGGCUAAUUUUUUUUCUUGAUUUUUGUCGAGAUAGGGUCUGUGAUGCCCAGGCUGGUCUCGAACUCCUAGCUUCAAGCAACCCUCCGACCAUGGCCUCCCAGAGUGCUGGGAUUACAGGUGGGAGCCACCGUACCUGGCCUUUUUGGGACGUCUUAGGCAUCAUGUAUUGGGGCUGCUGACUUGUAAGAAAUGUGUGUUCUUGGUCAUGUGACGCUACUCUUAAUGCUGCCCAGAAGUGGCAGAGCAAUAAAUACAAGAUCCUCCUCGCACACAAAACCACACGAAUUCCAUGCUGCCCUCCCUCAGGACGCGAGACAGAGUGCAAGGGCGGCAGCUCCUCGUGACUCCCUCUUCCUCCCUUUUUCCUUAGAACUAGGCCCGGGUCUCCACAGACAUAGAGAAAGGGAGGCCACAGCCAAAAGGCAAACAGAACAAAAGAAGUUAAUUCUCAAUCUUUGGACUCCAGUUAAUAGAAAAGCCAGUUCAGUCCGAGAGGGGCUGGUAUCCUUCCACAGUGAAGAUGUGAGCAGCGGCCACCACAGCGGGGCGCCUGCACCAAGAUCUGCAACCCACAAACUUCCCUCCACUGACUUCCUGUUCCCCAAACAACCUCUGCCUCGGUCUUGCCUCCUCUGGAGUCUGAACUGUCCAACGGGGGGAAUAUGUGCUAUAA
rnacentral:lncRNA from 10 species